AGCAGCCGCGGUAAUUCCAGCUCCAAUAGCGUAUAUUAAAGUUGUUGCAGUUAAAAAGCUCGUAGUUGAAUUUCGGGGUCAGUAGAUUGGUCGUGCCACUGGUAUGCACUGGUCUUACUGGCUCCUCCUUCCUGAUGAACCGUAAUGCCAUUAAUUUGGUGUUGCGGGGAGACUGGACUGUUACUUUGAAAAAAUUAGAGUGUUUAAAGCAGGCUAACGCUUGAAUACAUUAGCAUGGAAUAAUGAAAUAGGACGUUCGAUCUUGUUUUGUUGGUUUCUAAGAUUGACGUAAUGAUUAAUAGGGAUAGUUGGUGGCAUUAGUAUUCAAUUGUCAGAGGUGAAAUUCUUGGAUUUAUUGAAGACUAACUACUGCGAAAGCAUUUGCCAAGGAUGUUUUCAUUAAUCAAGAACGAAAGUUAGAGGUUCGAAGGCGAUCAGAUACCGCCUAGUUCUAACCAUAAACGAUGCCAACCAGCGAUUAGCCUGAGUUCCUAAAUGACUCGGCUAGC
rnacentral:rRNA from 1 species